rfam:Musca domestica strain aabys unplaced genomic scaffold Scaffold2447, whole genome shotgun sequence.
CAAUCGGUCCUUUUCAGGACCGCAAAUAUUUUACAAAAAAUAGGUAU